UCAUGAUGCAAAAUUUAAUAAAUGAUUUUUAUGUUUUUUUUUUUUGAAUUUUUUUUGUUUAUUUCAUACUGAAUAUUUUCUCAUCACUAUUGCUAGUAUAUAUAUUGAAAACACACAAAGACAUUUUGAAUUACUCAAUUAAAAAGUAACAAAAUCAUAUUUGACCAAAAUAAUUAAUUCGGGUAAUAAAUUAUAUUUGACUUAAAAGUAAUCUAGAUUUGCAUAUCUAUACAUAUUAAUUAUGCCUUUUCUCUUUUUAUGCAUCCAUAUCAGCAUCUGUGUGCUAAUACUAAUUGCAAUUUGGCUUUAUUUGAACACACACAAAUAUUUAUAUAUAUAUAAUCAACAUAUAUAAAGUAACGUAUUUCAUUAUUUAUAUAUGAAAUAAAAGGCGGAAACUGUAAUUACUUGUUGCACCUUUUGUCAAAAAUAAUUUCGUUGUCAGUCACGAAUCUAACUAUUUUUCCAUUUUUGUUUUUAAGCUGAUAACCAUAAUUUAAAUAUUAAUCCCUUUCAUUUUUAAUUAAAUAUUUAAAAUCAGUUUAUAAUCACUAUUUUCAUUUAUCUUUUUUAAAAAAAUAUAUAACAUAAAAUAAAUAAACCAUAUAUAGAUGAAAUCUAGAGCAACCCAUACACCUUCUUAUGACAAACUCAUUAGUUUAAUUAUCUUGUUCUGUUACACUCUUACUGUCAAUAUACUUAGGUAGUUUUAAUAUGAAAUUUAAUUAAUGUCAGAUUUGUGUAGAGUUAGUACAAUUAUUUUCAAAAGAAAACAUCUAAAAUUUUGAUGGCUUUUACUUUAAAACCUAGAUGGACUAUAAUUAAUUAAUUAUGUAGUUUAAAAAAUAUAUAUAUAUAUAUAAUUAUGGAUAGCUGGUAGUGAGAUCCUCUGUUCCAAACGCUACUGUUGCUGAGAAGUAAAAGAGUCCAAAGACAUUAAAGUGGCAUAUCGAGAAACUACUUUCGGAAUAUGAUAAAGAUGAAUGGAGUAUAUUGGUGCUUGCUGGUCGAUACAUUAGUGUAGAUCCCGAUGAAGAGAACAUAAUCUGCAUACACCUUUAUAUGACCAACUCAUUAGCUAAAUUAUAAGUAGGUUUUAAUAUAAAAUAUAACUAAUGCCAGAUUUGUGUAAUUUCAUUAAAAUAUUUAAAGUUGUAUAUACUAUAAAGAUCUAAUUUAUAGCUCAUUACAUCAUAAGUACAUAUUUUUACAUAGUAAAAGUGGUUCAUCUUUUUAGUUGUGGUGCAUCUUGAGAUGUUUUGUCUAAGUUUCUUCUUCUUCAUAUUUGUAAUUCAUCUUUUUAUUUAAUCUUUAUUUUUUAUUAUGUUUUCCAUUUUUUCACAUUUUCUAUUUUCUGCUAUUAGCUUUUGGUCUUACUUUUCAACUUCUUGAAUACAUCUAUAUGUUCUAUAUUUCUUGUAUUCACAUAAUUUUGGCAAACAAUCAUACUUAGAUUUAAUACCUUAUAAUUUUUUUUAACGACCAAAACGUUCUGAUGUAUUAUAAACCAAACAAUGUUAAUCUUUGGCAUAUCAAACAAUGGGAGUAGACUUCAAGUGAUGUAAAAGAGAGCAAGUUUGUUAAAUCUCCAAACUCAACUCUUUGAACCGUAGCUCGAGAUCCAUGACAAUAGCAAACUGAUUCAAAUUCAAGAUUAAGCGGGGCAGCAAUGUUCUCUUGCAAGAGAAAGAAACUGUAUUCAUGUUUUACUUUAUAAACACGGGCCUACUAAAUCAAGAGCCCAAAGUCUAUGAUUCAAUAUUUAAGUUCUAAAAGCUAAGAAUUGGAUUAAGAAGAAGGCGAUAACUGGUUAUUCCUCAAAGAAAUACAUGAAAUAAAAGAAAUUUUAAUAUGUGGAAUGGAAAAAAUAGAAUAGAAACUGAAAUUGGAAUUAGAAUUGGAACUCCAAUCAUUCCACACAUUCACGAGCCUUUUUAAUAUGAAACAAUUAGAGUAGAAUUUACUAAGGAUUUUUUAAAAGUUUAUGUGGAAAUGAAAAAAAGAAAAAUUCCAUGUAACUGGUAAAUAGUUUUUGGAAUUCCAUGAAAUGAUGUAUUUCAAACAAUUCUAUAAUUUAGUAUUCCAAUUGCAGCAGAAAUGAAAUCCUAGAAAAAUGAAAAGAAGUAUUCAUUUAUCAAAAUUUCUAAAGAUAUAGACACAAUUGGAAAGAGACAGUGACAAAAAAAAAGGAUUUGCUCAAUGUCUUGACUAUACACUUGUAAUGGAAAUACUAUUUUGAAUUUUGAGAAUAAAGGUAGAAAUAAGACCAUGAUGAUCACAGGAAAAUGGAGAAGUAAUGGUAAAAGUGAUAAGAAAUUUGAGUAUAAGCCAGGGUUGAGAA